rnacentral:rRNA from 1 species
UACGGAGGGUGCGAACGUUGAUCGGAAUCACUGGGCGUAAAGCGCGCGUAGGCGGUCUGUUAAGUGGGAUGUGAAAUCCCCGGGCUUAACCUGGGAAUUGCAUUUCAAACUGGCCGACUAGAGUACGGUAGAGGGAGGUAGAAUUUCCUGUGUAGCGGUGAAAUGCGUAGAUAUAGGAAGGAAUACCAGUGGCGAAGGCGGCCUCCUGGAUCGAUACUGACGCUGAGGCGCGAAAGCGUGGGGAGCAAACAGG